CAACAACUUUUUAAUAUGUAAAGUGUCCAUUUAUCCUCCAUGCCUGGUCCACUAUCUUAAGCUUUGGCUGCUGCCCCCCGCAACCCAAUCCGGUACUAAGUAGAGAGGCCCAGAGUUCGCUCUCUCCAGGCACUUGGUCCAGCUCCUCCGGGGGAAUCCCAAGGCAUUCCCAGGCCAGCUGAAAAACAUAGUCCCUCCAGCAUGUCCUGGGUGUUCUGGGUCUCUUGUUCUCCUGGGAGAACAAGUGUAGACGAUGCCACAUGAAGGAUGAUGAAAUUCCUCAUAUCACCUGAGCUGGCUGUGGAGUACAACAUGCUUGGCCGACAUGGGAAAAAAAAGUUCAGAGAUUUGCGUCUUUUUAAUGUUGUGUAUGAGACACUGAAGAAGAAUUAUUUAACAUCAAAAGUCAACUUGCAAGAAGCAGAGAAGGCUCUGUCCAAGUGGUUCACUGGAGCAAAAGGCAGAGGAGGACUGAGGGCUGCAAGGGUACAAAAUAGACUUACGGCUCUGUAAAAAAAACAAAAAAAGAAACCCUGCUGAUUCAAGAUAAACUUUUGAGUUUUCCAUCUGACUUUUUCCCCAUGUUGCUACAGUUCCAAAUAUCUAAGGAAUUUUGCUGUAGUUUGACAUUUCUAGUUUUUUAAAAGUUUACGCACUUUGGUAUACAGUUACGUAAAAUCACAGUUGUUGGACAAAAUAAAUGUGAAAAAUGUU